rnacentral:rRNA from 1 species
UACGAGAGGUCCAAGCGUUAGUCGGAAUCACUGGGCUUAAAGGGUGCGUAGGCGGAUCCGUAAGUGUCUUGUGAAAUCCCCGGGCUCAACCCGGGAAUUGCAUGGCAUACUGCGGAUCUUGAGGAAUCUAGAGGCCGGCAGAACAAUAGGUGGAGCGGUGGAAUGCGUAGAUAUCUAUUGGAAUGCCAAAGGUGAAGACAGCCGGCUGGGGAUUUCCUGACGCUGAGGCACGAAAGCGUGGGGAUCAAAC